rnacentral:rRNA from 1 species
UACGUAGGUGGCAAGCGUUGUCCGGAUUUACUGGGCGUAAAGAGCGCGCAGGCGGUCGUAUAAGUCGAAUGUGAAAGCCCCCGGCUCAACUGGGGAGGGUCAUUCGAUACUGUUCGACUCGAAGGCAGGAGAGGGAAGUGGAAUUCCGGGUGUAGUGGUGAAAUGCGUAGAUAUCCGGAGGAACACCAGUGGUGAAGGCGACUUUCUGGCCUGUUCUUGACGCUGAGGCGCGAAAGCUAGGGGAGCAAACGGG